AUCGUCACCGUUUUUACGAACCGGCCUGGAAGCCAAAAUCGAUGAAAAAAUAUAAAAUGACUUUUUUCAGUAUUUCGACUCAAUAGUCAAAUAUCUUUUAUUUCACAAAUUUGUAGGUCUUAAAACCAUUUCGUUACGUCAUUUUUGACGUCAUGAGACGCUCUGGGUUCAUGAGAAUGGACGAAUGCCGUUUUUACGAACCGGCUUGAUACGCGCGCCGCAGCUAGCUCGCCGACUCGCAUCGUCUGUUUGCUGAAACUUCGUUUUUACGAUCUGGCCUGAGGCGUCAGCUUGUUCAAACUUGCAUCAGCUGGAAACUGUUGCUUUCAGGUAGACCAAUGGGUGUCUCAUCAAACCAUACCUUCGACAGUUAAUUCGCUGUUCAUUGUUUGGUGAUUUCCAGAGCUGUUGCCUGAUUUUAAGAGUGAACAGAUUCUUACCUCUUCAAACGCAUCUGUGGUGGACUGUUACUUUCUAUUCCAAUUAUUCAUUCUACUGGGGACGAGAUGCUCAGUGUCUGACUGUCUGGUGAAGGGCUACUACUGAAAUUCCAUAAAUUGAAGCAUUCCAGGAGUGAAAGAUGUUUCGGAGAUUUUUGGAGACUCCACUUUUGAAGAUGAAGGAAAAUCACGAUCUCUUCUGAUAAAGGUAUACAUUUCUUGUGGUUUGACUGAACUUGUUUUCCUUUGGGAUAUUGAUAGAGAGAUCUCAAGACAGUAAACAUCAGUCUUCACAAUAACUCUGAUAUUGUAUUUACUGUCAAGAGCAUGUGAUAACUACUCUUGUUGCUUCAGAGACCAAAGCUCAAAACACAAUAUAUCAGUUCUUAUUUGGACUGGUAUAUUGUAUUGUCUGUAAAGAGCACGUGAUAUGGUCUAAAAUGUUUUCAUGGCAGAGAAAGACAGUUAGGUAGACCAAAGCUCAAAACAGAAUACAUGUAUAACAGAUUAACUGUGAAUUUCUGUCAAGGGCAAUUGGUAAAUUCUUGUUGCAUUUAGAGACCAAGAAGGACACUUUAGGUAGACCAAAGCUCAAAACAAUACAUGUACAACAGAUUAACUGUGAGAUUGUAUUUUCUGGAAAAUUAAAACAAAAUACAUGUAUAACAGACUGUAAGAUUGUAUUUUCUGUCAAGACUGUAAGAAGUAUUUUUUUGUCCAGAGCAAGUGUACAAAUUUGUUAAAUUUAGCAAAUAUGAAAGACUCCGAUAUUUAAACAAAAGCUUAGAUCAGAAUACAUAUGUUGUUAGAAAGACUGUCAAAAUGCAGUUUGCUUGAAGUGUGGGUUUUUGUUUUAACCUAAUAUGAUGAAAUAGCUACUUGAUUUCCUAAACUGGUUUAUGUUCUCAUUUAGGAAUAAAUGUCACAAUUGCAUAUGUGUGUUGGGAAAAAAUUCAUGCAAAUAUUUUUAUCGCAUGUUUCUUUUCACAACAAAUUUUGAAACUCAGGUUAUGAAAUAAGUGUCAUUUUUACAAUUAAAGUUUUGCAGACACAACUUGCUACAGAUCUGAUUUUUCUUGUCAUAUUUUAUUUGCAAUCAAAUCCACUGCAGUACAAUUAACAGUCUUGAUGUUGCUUGAUUUUAUUUAUGGUGCUUUGAACAGAUCGUAAUAUAUUCAUGCUUGAAAUUCUAUAUAUUAUCCUCUGCCAUGUACUUGCCAAAUAGUAUAAUGACUACUCACGAUCCGUCUUUCAAGACUAGUUUGCAAUUCAUGAAAUAUUUUCAUUUGUUUUUAUUUGUUAAACUCUGAGAUUAUCUAUUAUUGUUUUGUAUUUAUUUAAAAAAAAGUGUUGUUUGUUAGAAAUGAAAUUAUGACCCUUUGGGUUUCAUGUAUUAAUGGUCAGUUUGUCAUUGCUAAAAUGUUCAUACUCUUCAUUUAAAAAUGUACAUACUCUUCAUUUAAAAAUGUACAAUGAAAUUAAAUAUACAUCUCUGUGAAAGGUCAAUCUAACUGCUUUGACCAAAAUCCAGUAGUUGUAAUUUUCACACACAAGAAGUAAAUUAAAUUGGUGUACACGUCUGAAAGAUUCUAAACUGGUUAUUAAAAAGACAUUUUUUCAAUAUGGAACCACUUUGGAACUUGAUUUGAAAACAAAAUAGAAUAAUGGGCAUGCAAAUCUUUCUGCUAAACUUAUAAUUUUGAACAGACACUGUAACAUUACAACACACACAAAAGAAAAUGGCAGUAAGAGGCAAGAGAUCUUUUAGAUUACACAGAACAUGGUGAGAACAUUCUAGGACACCAUCAUGCAUUUGUGUAUUAUGUACAAUUUACUGUACAUAGUGUGAUCAAUUUACUGUACAUAGUCAUAGUGAUGCAUGGAGUUUGAUUUAUUUUUAAAAAUGGUUAAUGUUUUAAAAUUAGUGUUUAAUGUU